rnacentral:rRNA from 1 species
AUUGAACGCUGGCGGCAUGCCUUACACAUGCAAGUCGAACGGCAGCACGGGAGCAAUCCUGGUGGCGAGUGGCGAACGGGUGAGUAAUAUAUCGGAACGUGCCCAGUAGUGGGGGAUAACUGCUCGAAAGAGCAGCUAAUACCGCAUACGACCUGAGGGUGAAAGGGGGGGAUCGCAAGACCUCUCGCUAUUGUAGCGGCCGAUAUCAGAUUAGCUAGUUGGGGGGGUAAAGGCCUACCAAGGCAACGAUCUGUAGUUGGUCUGAGAGGACGACCAGCCACGCGGGGCACGAGAAACGGCCCAGACUCCUAGGGGAGGCAGCGUGGGGGAAUGGUGGAAAAUGGGCGUAAGCCUGAUCUAGCGAUGCCGCGUGCAGGAAGAAGGCCUUCGGGUUGUAAACUGCUUUGCCCCGGGAAGAGAUCCUCUAGGUUAAUACCCUUGGGGGGAUGACGGUACCUGAAGAAUAAGCACCGGCUACCUACGUGCCAGCCGCCGCCGUAACAC